CAAAUCAUAACUUUAGGUAGUACUAUUAUUUACAUUAAUAGGUUAGUUGUGCAAUUCAACUUGAUUUGA
rnacentral:tRNA from 1 species